UACGGAGGAUGCGAGCGUUAUCCGGAUUUAUUGGGCGUAAAGGGCUCGUAGGCGGUUCGUCGCGUCCGGUGUGAAAGUCCAUCGCUUAACGGUGGAUCCGCGCCGGGUACGGGCGGGCUUGAGUGCGGUAGGGGAGACUGGAAUUCCCGGUGUAACGGUGGAAUGCGUAGAUAUAUGGAAGAACACCAGUGGCGAAAGCGGCUCUCUGGUCUGUAACUGACGCUGAGGUUCGAAAGCGUGGGUAGCAAACAGG
rnacentral:rRNA from 1 species